AAAUAUUGAACAGUUAAGAGCUGUAUUGCCAGAGUUGGCUUCAUUAUUGGUCGUUGGAGAGGUUAUAGCAGUUCCUCCGCUACUUCAAGCAGCAUUGAGAUCGCAACUAACAAAUUCACAUACACCGAGUAGUGGGACUUUUGUGAAAGAAGGUAGUGGUGAUGUUUAUGCAUCUGCUGUCACCACAGCUAAUUCUGUUACACCUCGCCAUACCCCUGAUAGAGAAAAUGACACUCGAAGUCAACAGAGAAGACCAUCCACCUUAAAUAGAGAGCACCAUGAGUCGGAAACAGAUACAGAAGAAUUUGAGAAAAAGUAGGCUGCAGUGGAGGCAGUGAUGGAACUUUUUC